GGUUUAUAUGGGAUUUCAAAUUGCCAUUGAAAUCUAUGAAGCAGCAUGGUCUGAAAAUGGACUCGGUUAUUCUUUCUAAACUCUUGAAGCUUGGACCACUGUUGAUUGUUUUAGAGUGCUAAGUUACAUGCAUUCUUUGGCCGUAUGGGCAAUGGGUUCUUACAAGGCCAAAACCUUGUAAGAAUGGAAUGAAACCAUCAAUAAAUGAAGAAUGUUUGUAUAUAUAUCAUGCAAGAUUCUGCAAAGUUGCUCGCCUUCUAAAGG